rnacentral:rRNA from 1 species
ACGUCCAUACUUGCUGAAAGCACCAGUUCCCGUCCGAUCACUGCAGUUAAGCGUCUGAGGGUCUCGUUAGUUCAAUAUUGUGGUCGGAGACAACAUGGGAAUCCGGGAUGCUGUGGGUUUCU